GGGGAUGUAGCUCAGUGGUAGAGCGGAUGCUUAGCAAUGUAUGAGGUCCUGAGUUCAAUCCCUGGCAUCUCCU